AGCUUCUUGAAAGAGGAGUUAAAGGGAGGGUGAGAAAUUGGCUGUCUGAAAAUGUCUUAAACUCUUACUCCUGAUAGUUUGGCUAGUAUACAAUUCUCUGAUCAAGAUCAUUUUCCUUUAGAACUUUGAAGUUAUUGCCCUUUUAUUUCUGGUUUUCAGAGUUACUAACAAGAGUCUUCCAGAAUUUUGAACCUUGAACCAUUGUUAUUUAACCCAUGUUCACUUAUUUUUAUAUCCUUUCUGAAAGCUUAUAGGAUAUUCUGUUUGUCCCCAGUAUUCUAAAAUCUGAAGCAUGGUGAUUACAAACUCAUUAUCCCAACAAAUAUCCUCAAUUCCUUCAGAUUGUCCUAUUGCAAGUUUAAACUCAUUCACCAAUUUCUCUCCCUGCCCCCUCAACACUCUGAAGUGUUUGGGUGGAGGUUUGGAGCUGGCAGGGAGGGAACAAUGCAUCAGGAAAACAUUGUCUCUGUCAGGGUGGGCCCUAGUGAUUACCACCUAACCCCACUGGCAACUGAUGGGACAUCUGGGUCUUGCCUUGGUCCGUGGUCACCUGACCCCUGACACUUACUCUGCAUCUCCUUAUGUGAACUCUGAGGCCACAGGGUCUCACUGGCCCCAUUAGCCAUGCUGUUGCUCCUGUCACAGACACAGGACACUUGUGUGUGUGGGGAGGGGUGAUACAGGCCUCUCUGCUGCCUCCUGGGAUUUCCAUAGCCAAUGGGACACAUGUCCUCACGGCUUUACGGAUACUCUAAGUUUGGUGGGGGUUCUAUCAUUCCUGCUUUUGGAGCUGACCUAGGGUGGGGGAUGAGUGGCAAGAGAUGUUUGGCAGCACCCAGCUUCUUUCCUGACCCUCUGCUCCCCCGGGCCAAAGGCCCCCAUUCACUCUCUGUAGGGGAAAUAGCUGGUGAGGUGGUACCUUUCCAUCCUGUUACCCAUGCAGGGACCCCAUCUCUUUUUAGUCAGACCCAGUUUCUCCUGGAGUGCUGUCUCUGUCCUGGGCUCAGAUGUCUAUAUGUGGUAAUAGAGAAGGCUGCCACAUGGUUUCUUUGCCUCAACUUCUGGACCAGACCCAGGGGCUUUUUACAAUUUUAAUUUGUAGUUCUGGUUCAUCACUCCCUUGCUCACUGUCUUCUGAUGUCUUUGCUCUAACGUCUAAAAUCUACUGGCUUCUCUCACCUUUCCUAGUCAUUCCUUUGUUCCCUUCUUCCCAUUCAUGAGCUACUUGGAUAAUUCUUAAAACUGCCUGUCUGGCCUCAGGGCCUUUGCACUGCUUUCCCUGCUUGGAUGUUCUUCCAACUCUUCUUCUCUACUUCAUUCAGAUCCCUGCCUGAGUCUUCACCAGAGUGACAAUCUUUUUUUUUUUUUUUUUUAACUUAGCUAUAAUACAACCAUGAGAAAAUUUUUCAUAAGUGUGGCAUGAGUAGGACAUUUUAAAGCAUGACAGGUCUUUUUCUUUUUUUUUUUUAAGAUUUUUAUUUAUUUACUUGAACUUUUAAACUUAUAUCAAGGAUAAUUAUCAAAUGUUUGCCAUUGGAAUUAGAAGGAUUUUUAAAAAAUCAAAUGGAAUGAAAGCAUUUUGAGAUUAGGCCAUUCUGGGUAGGGAGGAAAGCUCUCCUGAGAGCCCUGUGCUGAGGUGAGAAAGAUUCAGACUCCCCUUAUCACGGGGCUUCCCAUCUCAGAGACUGUCCCCAAGUUCUGAGGACUCUGCAUGCCCAGCCUACUCUAUAGGCUAUCAUGAAUUGGGAGGAAGCAACCCAGGGUGGGAAGUAGGUAGCCUUGUUCUUAUACUUUGCCCUGCUUUUUGCUGACAGUGUAGCUUGGAGGCUAUUCAUCUUCCCUGAGCCUGUCCCCUAGUCUGAUGGGUAGGCUAUAUCAUCCACUUAGUGCUUAUGAGAACUUGGGAAAUCACAUGGUAAAGCUCUAAGCUCAACGCUUGACACAGGGUGUAUAUGUGUUAUUCAUUAGUUCCCUUCUCCUCUCGUCAGAUCACACAUUGCUUCUAUGGAGCACCUACUGCGAGCACAUACUUUUACAGGCCUGGUCCCUGCUCUCCAAGGAUUUCAGUUUCUCCUCCCUGCAUGAAAAGGAAGGCUUUCCUCAGAUGUCUGCUACACCCUGGCCUAAGAGCCAGAGCUCAUUUGCUGUUUGGGAUUGGUGAAGAGUAUGCCUGACUUCAAUAAUAUGUUCUGCUUUAUACCAAAAGCCCAGAGGCAUGAAAUGGAUUAGCUCUUGGAAAAUUGGGAGAAAAGUGAGUCUUGGACCCCGGGUGCUCAGGGAUGCAGCCCCACAGCAUAGGCCCCUGGCUCAGAUGUCAACGUGAAGACAAGAAGAAAGGUCAGUGGGAAAACCAGGGAAGCAAGAAGAGACAGAGGCAGGGACAGCAUGUCAGGCACUUGGGAUAGGGGGCAGGGAAUGAAGGAGGGGUAGUCAGAGAUAGCAACAGGGAGACUCCAGGGCAGAAAGCAAGAACUCAGGUCUGGUUCAGUCACUGCUGUCUGAAAGAUUGAGGUGGUAUAGACCUUUCUUGCCCUUGCUUGGGUGGUCCAGGCAGCAGCUCUGGGUGAGGCUCUGCAUUGUCCCUCUCACCCUCUGUAGCUCCAGACCCUCCAUCUGGGAUGCCACCUGUUCUCACUAUUCUCCCUGGGGCUGCUCUGGGUGAACACCAAUUCUAAGUGGGGCUCCUCUCUGGGUUGCUUUCUCUCUGCUGGGGUGGGGUGGGCAGCCCAGGGCUAGAGCUUCUCCUUAGUGGAAGUGCCUAGAAGCCUGAGCCUUCCCCUGUCACCACCGCUCACCAACAGGGCUUGGACCUAAGAAACAUGAUGCAGGCAACCUAUUGUUGCAACAAGAACAGAAGUGCUUUCUUUCUGGGUCUUGAACCUAAAAUGAGGAAAAUAGUGCCUAAAUCCUACAUUUGGAAGAUGAACAAAAAUAGUUCACUAAAUGCUCAGGACAGUGCCUUGUAAAAUGUGUCCCUUCAGAGGGGAGAGCUGUGACCCCUGAGACUGGGAGCCACUGUGCCCUGUGCUCACAGACCUUCCAAUGCACACAGACCUUCCAGUCUUCUUGUUACUGAGGCCUUCAGCAGGUGAGUAGGUACUGGGAUGGAGCCCCUCAUGGCCUGUAGUGGUCCAGACACUCAUCUGCCUGGCUAGCUUUGGUUUCUGUCUCUUACUAUUCAAUGGCCACCUGUGUUCUACACUAGCCAGCCUUGCCCCUCCUCUGGACACACAGCCAGUCACUGACCUCCAUGUAGUGCUGGUCUGUACCCUGCGCUCAAGGCUGAUGAAGAUGACCUGAAUGGCCAAUGAUAGUACUGCUGGCUAGCCAUUAGGCAGAAUGCAGUCCAGGGACCUAUGGAGAGAGAAGGAGGGGGGUAGGUCCUCAGGGCAGAACUCUGGCAUCCUCCUAGUUGACAUGAAAUGAAUAGGAGAGUAUCAAGGGGAGAGCACUUGAAGGUGUUCCAGGUGCAAAAGCAACAGGAGAAGAGGCUUGGAGGUGCAGACCCACCACUGCACAUGGUUGGAGGGUCCAGGCAGAGGUAGGUGAAGGUGAAGAGGAAGGGAAUGUGGAGCUUGAAUCUCAAAGGCAGGUUGGGAAGGCCCAGGGGUCUGACUUUGCCUACUCUAUGGGGCCAGGUAAAUAGGAGCGUGCCCAGAUGGCGGGCUCCUAUACUGUUCCUCCAUGGCCCAGCUUCCCCAGCCACCCCUGACUCAAAAGGAGUGAUGGCUAUCUUUCCCAGCCCCCAUGGGCACCCUCUGCUAUGCCUGGAGCCACUUGGCCCCAUUAGUCUGCUCUUCCCUGGGCUCUGAGUUCAGUCAUGUCUGCCCUGCCUCUGAAUGCCUUUUGCACCUGUGCAGGGCCUGUGGCACACUUGAUGUGUAUGUGUGGAAUGGAUCAGUGAAAGAAUUAAAAAUCUCAGGGGAAAAUUUCCAAAAGGCAAGAA